rnacentral:rRNA from 1 species
GAUACCCUGGUAGUCUCGGCCCUAAACGAUGAUCACUAGGUGUCGGGGGGUUUCCCUCGGUGCCGCAGCUAACGCAUUAAGUGAUCCGCCUGGGGACUACGGCCGCAAGGUUGAAACUCAAAGGAAUUGGCGGGGGCCCGCACAAGCGGUGGAGCAUAUGGCUUAAUUCGAUGCAACGCGAAGAACCUUACCCAGGCUUGACAUGUACCUGCAAGCGCCCCAAAAGGCGCCGCUUUCGAAGGUGGUACACAGGUGGUGCAUGGCUGUCGUCAGCUCGUGUUGUGAAAUGUUGGGUUAAGUCCCGCAACGAGCGCAACCCUCAUGUAAUGUUGCCAGCGAGUAAUGUCGGGAACUCGUUACAGACUGCCUAUGUAAAUAGGAGGAAGGUGGGGAUGACGUCAAGUCAUCAUGCCCCUUACGCCUGGGGCUGCACAUAUGCUACAAUGGAUGCUACAAACGGUUGCGAACCCGCGAGGGGGAGCUAAUCUGAAAAAAGCAUUCUCAGUUCGGAUUGGAGUCUGCAACUCGACUCCAUGAAGCCGGAAUCGCUAGUAACCGCAGGUCAGCAUUACUGCGGUGAAUACGUUCCCGGGCCUUGCACACACCGCCCGUCACGUGACGAAAGUUGGUUUUGCCCGAAGUCGUUGCGCUAACCGCAAGGAAGCAGACGCCGAAGGUAAAGCCGAUGA